rnacentral:misc_RNA from 1 species
UUAAGUUCAGCGGGUAUUCCUACCUGAUCCGAGGUCAACCUUGAGGAUUGAUGGUUAAAGACCGGGCCAGCCCACCACUAUCAUGCGUGCUUGGAAAGCUCGUUGCAUCUAGGGUCGACAUGACACCGUCAUUAUCUUUCAGACCCAUCUUUAACGAUGAAGGUCCAAUGACAAGUCUAGCUUGAUGAUUGAUAAUGACG